rnacentral:lncRNA from 1 species
CAGGGGAUGGAUGGCCAGGCUGCAAAAGUCUUGUUGCUACAGAGCUCCAAGAUGCUGCUUGUUGCCUUUAAUCAUAAAAAGCUUCAGGACCUUCACAGUCUGAAAAGAAGCUGAACACUGGUUCUCAGGAUCUACUGCCUUCUCCAUUGGAUUCUUCCUCCAUCCUACCCCC